rnacentral:rRNA from 1 species
GAUGAACGCUGGCGGCGUGCCUAAUACAUGCAAGUCGAGCGAACAGACGAGGAGCUUGCUCCUCUGACGUUAGCGGCGGACGGGUGAGUAACACGUGGAUAACCUACCUAUAAGACUGGGAUAACUUCGGGAAACCGGAGCUAAUACCGGAUAAUAUAUUGAACCGCAUGGUUCAAUAGUGAAAGACGGUUUUGCUGUCACUUAUAGAUGGAUCCGCGCCGCAUUAGCUAGUUGGUAAGGUAACGGCUUACCAAGGCAACGAUGCGUAGCCGACCUGAGAGGGUGAUCGGCCACACUGGAACUGAGACACGGUCCAGACUCCUACGGGAGGCAGCAGUAGGGAAUCUUCCGCAAUGGGCGAAAGCUUGACGGAGCAACGCCGCGUGAGUGAUGAAGGUCUUCGGAUCGUAAAACUCUGUUAUUAUGGAAGAACAAAUGUGUAAGUAACUAUGCACGUCUUGACGGUACCUAAUCAGAAAGCCACGGCUAACUACGUG